GAUGAACGCUGGCGGCGUGCCUAAUACAUGCAAGUCGAGCGAAUGGAUUAAGAGCUUGCUCUUAUGAAGUUAGCGGCGGACGGGUGAGUAACACGUGGGUAACCUGCCCAUAAGACUGGGAUAACUCCGGGAAACCGGGGCUAAUACCGGAUAACAUUUUGAGCCGCAUGGUUCGAAAUUGAAAGGCGGCUUCGGCUGUCACUUAUGGAUGGACCCGCGUCGCAUUAGCUAGUUGGUGAGGUAACGGCUCACCAAGGCAACGAUGCGUACCCGGCCUGAGAGGGUGAUCGGCCCCACUGGGACUGGGACACGGCCCGGCCUGCUACGGGAGGCAGCAGUAGGGAAUCUUCCGCAAUGGACGAAAGUCUGACGGAGCAACGCCGCGUGAGUGAUGAAGGCUUUCGGGUCGUAAAACUCUGUUGUUAGGGAAGAACAAGUGCUAGUUGAAUAAGCUGGCACCUUGACGGUACCUAACCAGAAAGCCACGGCUAACUACGUGCCAGCCGCCGCCGCGG
rnacentral:rRNA from 1 species